rfam:Toxocara canis scaffold44, whole genome shotgun sequence.
AGACCAGUAGCUCAGUGGUAGAGCCCCUGCUUCGCAUGCGGGGAGACCUGGGCUCGAUUCUCGGCUGCUUUC